rnacentral:rRNA from 1 species
UACGAAGGGUGCAAGCGUUACUCGGAAUUACUGGGCGUAAAGCGUGCGCAGGCGGUUUUGUAAGCCAGAUGUGAAAUCCCCGGGCUUAACCUGGGAAUGGCAUUUGGGACUGCAAGGCUGGAGUGUGGCAGAGGAGACUGGAAUUCCCGGUGUAGCAGUGAAAUGCGUAGAUAUCGGGAGGAAUACCGAUGGCGAAGGCAGGUCUCUGGGCUGACACUGACGCUCAUGCACGAAAGCGUGGGGAGCAAACAGG